CAUUACCGAGUUUACAACUCCCAAACCCAAUGUGAACGUUACCAAACUGUUGCCUCGGCGGGAUCUCUGCCCCGGGUGCGUCGCAGCCCCGGACCAAGGCGCCCGCCGGAGGACCAACCCAAAACUCUUAUUGUAUACCCCUCGCGGGUUUUUUAUAAUCUGAGCCUUCUCGGCGCCUCUCGUAGGCGUUUCGAAAAUGAAUCAAAACUUUCAACAACGGAUCUCUUGGUUCUGGCAUCGAUGAAGAACGCAGCGAAAUGCGAUAAGUAAUGUGAAUUGCAGAAUUCAGUGAAUCAUCGAAUCUUUGAACGCACAUUGCGCCCGCCAGUAUUCUGGCGGGCAUGCCUGUCCGAGCGUCAUUUCAACCCUCGAACCCCUCCGGGGGGUCGGCGUUGGGGAUCGGCCUCCUCUCACGGGGGCCGUCUCCGAAAUACAGUGGCGGUCUCGCCGCAGCCUCUCCUGCGCAGUAGUUUGCACACUCGCAUCGGGAGCGCGGCGCGUCCACAGCCGUUAAACACCCCAAACUUCUGAAAUGUUGACCUCGGAUCAGGUAGGAAUACCCGCUGAACUUAAGCAUAUCAAUAAGCGGAGGAAAAGAAACCAACAGGGAUUGCCCCAGUAACGGCGAGUGAAGCGGCAACAGCUCAAAUUUGAAAUCUGGCCCCUAGGGUCCGAGUUGUAAUUUGUAGAGGAUGCUUUUGGUGAGGUGCCGCCCGAGUUCCCUGGAACGGGACGCCACAGAGGGUGAGAGCCCCGUCUGGCUGGCCACCGAGCCUCUGUAAAGCUCCUUCGACGAGUCGAGUAGUUUGGGAAUGCUGCUC
rnacentral:rRNA from 1 species